rnacentral:lncRNA from 1 species
ACCUGGAAUCCCAGCACUUUGGGAAGCUAAGGCAAGCAGAUUGCCAGAGCUCAAGAUUUCUCCACCCUUUUUUUUUUUUGAAACCUCCCACUAACUACUUAUUCUGCUCCAAACUGGCUUCUACAUCCUCGCCAGUUUAUCAAUCAAAAUAGCUCUCAGUGAGGUCAUCACUGAGAUCUGUGCAUGAAAUUCAUUGGGCAGUUUUUAAUGUUUAACUUCAGUCAUAUCUCAUUUAGGUUUUGAUUUGCAUUUCCCUAACAACUAAUGAUGUUGGGCAUCUUUUAUGUGUUUAUUGGCCAUUUGUAAAACUUCUCUGAAGAAAUGUCUACUCAGAUUGUUUAUUCAUUCUGAAAUUGGGUUGU